rnacentral:lncRNA from 1 species
ACCAAUUAAAUUCAUCUCAAAAAAUGCCCAAAAAUCAACCUGAAGAUUAUCAAAAAAUGGACAAAAGAUUAUAAUAUUAAACACAUUGGAUAUUUUUUAUCUCUACCUAAUUCACCUUCCAAAAAAAAAAAUGGAAAGAAGCAUUUCAAACCAUCAGAACUAGGAGAAAGCAUCCUAUUGUUUGAACCAAAGUUUUAAUCCAUGACUCUUUCUUUAAGCUAAUCCUUGAAUGCCACUUGACAUCAUCUUAACUC